ACAGUUGGUAGAACUUGUUCGGAAUGGCGACUUGACUUCAAGUUUGUUAGAGUAACAGUUGUAAUUUUUUAAAUAUUACAAUUUAUUCAAUCAUUCCAUCUCAGUGAAGAAUCAAAAAGGAGUAGAAAGCAUAGCGAAAAGUUAGCUGGUAACGAAAGGUUAUGUUUUGAGAUUUCUUCAAGUUAUAAUUCCCUCACAGUCAUUUCCUCAUUGGGAAUAAAAGUGAGUGGAUCAAGAGUUAUGAGGUUAUAUUACUUUACCUGUCUAUUUUUAACCAAUUCCCCAGGAGCGACAAUUCCAUCAUUAUCCAAAGCAGUGUGUUUCCACAUGGGCUGUCCGGUCACAGAAUCCAACAUGGGUCCUUGAAUCCUAUCGAAAGUUU